rnacentral:rRNA from 1 species
GAUGAACGCUGGCGGCGUGCCUAAUACAUGCAAGUCGAGCGCAGCGGGAACGGGUGAGUAACCCGUGGCUAACCUCCUAUAAGACUGGGAUAACUUCGGGAAACCGGAGCUAAACCGGAUACUUAUAGAUGGAUCCGAUCGGCAUUAGCUAGUUGGUAAGGUAACGGCUUACAAAGGCAACGAUGCAUAGCCGCCCUGAGGGGGGUAUCGUCCACACUGGAACUGAGACACGGUCCAGACCCCUACGGAAGGCAGCAUUAGGGAAUCUUCCGCAAUGAGCGAAGGCCUGACGCAGCAACGCCGCGUGAUUGAUGAAGGUUUCCGGAUCUUAAGAUUCUGUUAUUGGGGAAGCGGUAACUAAUCAGAAAGCGACGGCUAACUACGUGCCAGCAGCCGCGGUAAUAC